AGACCAGGCCCGUGGGGAGUGAAUGUUCGGGACGGUGCUCGAGAGCGCUACUGUUUGGAGUUACAGAUUCUGGCUUGUGCGAUGGCUUGCCGGAACCAAAGCGAACAAAAUAUUCGAACUUUCUUCCGAACACGGUGGUGGACUCUGUUCUGCCAUAAAGUCCUGAUCCUUCCCUGAUCGACUCCGCCCUCACCAGCCACACCACCGUUUCCAGGCCGGCCACACCUGACUGACCAGUCCACCCUUGGAAAAAUCGAGCAAGUUCUGAAAAUAAAAAGAAAGAAGUCCUGUGUUCCCAUGAUGAUGUCAUAAUUUCAUUUCGUGUCAAGGUAAAAAUAUAGUGCUAGGGAGUUCCAGAAUUUUCUGGUCAGUCAACAACUUAGUCCAUCUACUGGUCCUUAUAAGUAUAUCAGGACACAAUUACCACGGGGUUGCCCAGGGUCCUGGACUGGAAACAUGGAGUCACUUCCAGUUAGUUCCACCGAAGCUCCACCACAGACCUGCCUGAGGACUCUGGGUAAAUAACCUCAGGCCGCUUCAGUGUCUCCACUGCUGAAAAGGGGGAAGUCACAUACACAUCUGCGUUAUUGUACAGACGAUAAAUGACAACUUCUCAGCCACAAUCUGAAUGAGAAAACUAAGCACUGCUUUCUUGGAGUCCAUGUGGAACCCUGGGCCUGAUCCUGCCCCGGGGUUGGUCAAGCAAUGAAUUUAUUUAGGAAAAAUACCAGUGAAGAGUGGGCUUGAUCAUGACCAAUUCACAAUCUCCAGAGGAUGUGAUGGCUCAAUAGCAUUACCUGUGCCCACAACUGAUGGUAACUGAGACAGCAGGCUCUGAGACCCAGAGUUCCUCCCCUCUAGGAAUUUUCAGCCCACGUAGAGGAAGAUAUAAAAUAAUGACACGAAUAAUUACAAAACCAAAUAGCAUAUAUUGAGUAAUGACACAAGAAUUUUUCUCUUCUCUUUUUCUUUGCAAGUUAUUAGUCACUAUAAAGCAAUGGCUAAGAGCACAGGCUGAGGAGGCUGGCUUCCUAGGUUGGAAUCCCAGCUUCACCUUUCACUUGCUGCAUGGCCUCUGGAAAAUUACUUCACUUCUCUGUGCUGCCGUCUUUUUUAUUACAAAAUAAUCAGCCGGGUGUGGUGGCUCACGCCUGUAAUCCUAUCACUUUGGAAGGACAAGGUGGGCGGAUCACUUGAGAUCAGGAGUUCAAGACCAGCCUGGCUAAUAUGGUGAAACCCUGUCUCUACUAAAAAAAAAAAUACAGUAAUUAGCCUGGCAUGGCGGCAGGUGCCUGUAAUCCCAGCUACUCGGAAGGCUGAGGCAGGAGAAUUGCUUGAACACAGGAGGCAGAGGUUGCAGUGAGCCGAGAUCACACCAUUGUACUCCAG
rnacentral:lncRNA from 1 species